rnacentral:rRNA from 1 species
UACGUAGGGUGCAAGCGUUAUCCGGAUUUACUGGGGUUAAAGGGCGCGUAGGUGGGUCUGUAAGUCAGUGGUGAAAUCUCCGAGCUUAACUCGGAAACUGCCAUUGAUACUAUAGGUCUUGAAUUAUCUGGAGGUAAGCGGAAUAUGUCAUGUAGCGGUGAAAUGCUUAGAUAUGACAUAGAACACCAAGUGCGAAGGCAGCUUACUACGGAUUGAUUGACACUGAGGCACGAAAGCGUGGGGAUCAAACAGG